CUCCUUGAGAGGGUAAGGCUCCCAGUAGACGACUGGGUUGAUAGGCCGGGUAUGGAAGCCCUGUGCGGGGUGGAGUUGACCGGUACUAAUAGGCCGAGGGCUUGUCCUCAGUUG
rnacentral:rRNA from 1 species